CAAAGUAUCGCGAGAGCGAGACGAAAUUUGAUUUCUUGAAUCCUUCUCGCGGUACUCUGACGUCAUCCGGCUGUCAGUCUUGCGGCGCCGCAUGAAGUCAAAGCCUCCUGACUGCGUGCGAGAACAUUUUGAAUUAUCUGGCACGAGGCAUCACACGUCAAACUUCAACUGACACAACGGUCUCGGUGAAGGGAAUAAGCAAAAGCUCCUUUAAAUUUCGUCAUUUUUUAUACACAUCCCGUUUAUUUUGUAGUUAAUUGUUAGAUAAGUAAGUAAUUUCGUCAAGUUUUCGUUACAAAGUAAGAUUUCGUUAUCAUCGUUACCAUAUACAGUAUUUAUAUUGGUUCAAGAGCGCAGUUUGAUAACUCAUUCAAGCCUUUAAACAUCUAAACAUGUCCUCCAAAAAGGUAAGUUCAGCAGAUCAGCUUAUCUUAUUCUGUAAUAUUGAUACUGGUUUGAGAAAAACUAAGAUUAAACAACGUACAUGUUUCCAGGAAAAAGGGAAAAACACUGGAAAACAAUUUCAGCCUAAGAACAAAAUAAGGCUGAGGUAUCACCAUCCUUGUGGUUAGAGUGAAAGAAUGUGGGUAUUGAGACCAAAAUAAAUAAUGUGCCAUUCUGGACAAACAGCUGUGGACAAUAUAAGCAGUCAGAGUAGCCCAUUUUCUCACACAGAUGAGGAGCAACCAGUAAGAAAAAGCAAAAAGAUGUUUUGAUGUUGCCUGAGGCACCUUAUUCACAUCAGUCAAUUUCUUCCAAUAAUGAAUCAAGAAAUCCUGGAGUGGGGAAUCAUUCUGAAAGUAGACCAAAUACAGGACAACACCACAGCAGUGGUUGGAAAAAUGCAGCAGACAAUGAGCAAACCAAGCUGACUUUCAAAAGAUGAUUCGUUAUCUGUUUCUUCAAAGGGGAGGCAGUUUGGGAGAUGGGAAAUAGGAGGAUGCUACAGCUACACAGGGCGAAUUUCAGCAGCUCAGUUUCACACUUGCAACUAACAAUGAAUUAUAGUUAGAAGACAACGGAAAUAUUUGACAUGGGAGUCCAGCAGACAGCCAGAGACACGCACACACACGGAGCUGAAGCGCGUUUGACUGACGCGUACGGGAGAUCAGGCACGCGCACGGGAGCUCGCUCGCGCACGCACACACAAACACGGAGCACAUGAAAAUUACAACUGUUCAAUUAAAAUAAAAGAACUUUGUGGUAAACAAUGUUUAGCGUGUCUGAUUUCAUUGGUUGUAAUGAAAUAAAACGAUGUGCUGAGGACUUUAGGCGAACGUCCCCUAAAAGUCCCGAAAGUCCGCUGACCGUCCUGCAAACGUCCUUGUGAAAGUCCGGAGGACGUCUUCGCGGACGUCCGCUCGACGUAACAGGGGACCCUACACGAUAACGUCCAGGGGACGUUCGCAGAGGACAUUUAGGGGACGUCCAGGGGACCUUUU